rnacentral:tRNA from 1 species
UGUGUGACUCAGUGGUAGAGCACAUGCUUAGCAUGCAUGAGACUGUAGGUUCAAUCCCUGACACA